rnacentral:rRNA from 1 species
UGGGGAAUAUUGCACAAUGGGGGAAACCCUGAUGCAGCCAUGCCGCGUGUGUGAAGAAGGCCUUCGGGUUGUAAAGCACUUUCAGUGGUGAGGAAGGCUUGUAGAUUAAUACUCUACAAGAUUGACGUUAGCCACAGAAGAAGCACCGGCUAACUCCGUGCCAGCAGCCGCGGUAAUACGGAGGGUGCAAGCGUUAAUCGGAAUUACUGGGCGUAAAGCGUACGUAGGCGGCUUGUUAAGCAAGAUGUGAAAUCCCCGGGCUCAACCUGGGAAUGGCAUUUUGAACUGGCAGGCUCGAGUUCUGAAGAGGGUGGUAGAAUUUCCAGUGUAGCGGUGAAAUGCGUAGAUAUUGGAAGGAAUACCGGUGGCGAAGGCGGCCACCUGGUCAGAAACUGACGCUGAGGUACGAAAGCGUGGGGAGCAAACAGG